rnacentral:rRNA from 1 species
CUGCACGCGCGCUACACUGGAGGAAUCAGCAUGUUUUUCCUGUAUCGAAAGGUAUGGGUAAACCUUUGAAAAUCCUCCGUGAUUGGGAUAGGGAAUUGCAAUUAUUCCCCUUGAACGAGGAAUUCCCAGUAAGUGUGAGUCAUCANCUCACGUUGAUUACGU